rnacentral:rRNA from 1 species
CGGUUCCUACGGGAGGCAGCAGUGGGGAAUAUUGCACAAUGGGGGAAACCCUGAUGCAGCGACGCCGCGUGAGUGAGGAAGUAUUUCGGUAUGUAAAGCUCUAUCAGCAGGGAAGAAAAUGACGGUACCUGACUAAGAAGCCCCGGCUAACUACGUGCCAGCAGCCGCGGUAAUACGUAGGGGGCAAGCGUUAUCCGGAUUUACUGGGUGUAAAGGGAGCGUAGACGGCUAA